AUGGGAUUCCAACUCAGCACCUUUUGUUUUGAGAUUUUGAGAAGAGUUUCUCUUUGGAGAGCCCAGUCGAUCUAUGAUUUCACAUUCACGGACGUUGAUAAGAUCCUUCCAUUUAGUAGCACCUUAGGAUGGCAUAGCCUUAGCGUUAAUGGCGAGGUUCAAAAGAGGAAAGGCUUGCGGUGGAUACCUAGGCACCCAGAGACGAGGAAGGGCAUAGCAAGCGACGAAAUGCUUCGGGGAGUUGAAAAUAAGCAUAGAUCCGGAGAUUCCCAAAUAGGUCAACCUUUUAAACUGCCUGCUGAAUCCAUGAAGAGGCAAGAGACAACCUGGCGAACUGAAACAUCUUAG
rnacentral:rRNA from 1 species